GCUUUAUCUCGUUUAAUUGACAGAAUUCAGACCGCGGUAGCACGUAAAGCGAAGAGGGGUCUUUGAAUCAGCAAAGUGCUUGUAAUGUAAUAAGCACUCUCUUCUAAAUGGAGCCUUGACUCCAUUUAAAAGAGGGCAGAAAAUAUGUGUGCACUCUUGCUUAAGGCUUUCAUCUUGCAUAUAAAUCACUCCUGAAAGUGGGUGUUUGAGCGCCACAGAUUUCAGGUCUUGGGGCGCAUGCUGUAUUAUCGGCCAAGGCUGCAUUAAUGACAGAGCUGUGCCAUGGCACCAUGAAGUAAAUUAAGCCAAUUCCAAAUAUUCUAAGGAUUUUUUUCUAGCUGUUUUAAAAGCCUUACCCUUACGUGUGCUUCUUCUUUCCCUCUACUUUCUGUUUCUGUCUAGGUACCGCGGCAGCUGAGUGCUCUGACAUUGUACAGGUGUGAGCAGUCUGUUCUGGAUUACUGCCAUACCCACCUGUCACUGCACCUCAAUGUGGGCAUGGAGCCCUCCACUCAGGCGCAGGGAGGUCCAGGGCCAGCAUUGUACCAACCCAGCCUAAUGGCUGCCCUCCCCUCAAAGCCUGUGCUGCCUUGCCCCCAGACCCACUCCCACCACCACUGAGCUGUGCACACCACGAGGCUCUGUCUCCAAACUACUGUACGUCAGCUGCACAUAAUCACAGAACUGCUCAUACGAAAUGAAAGGCUGUGUGGGAGGAAGCUGGGACUGGUAAAGAAGCAAAGGAGACAAUUAAUUUACUGCAGAGCAUCCUGGAACCAGGGUAAUGAAAAUGAAAAUAUUUCUCAGUGGAAAUAAAGGGGAGCAGCAGUUUUGAUUAGUGAGCUUCUGACCUACCUGACCCUCAAUGUCCUCAAUUAGCAAAGGAGGCUGAACUUCAGCAUGACUUUCUGCAUUCUGCUUUGCCUCUUGGGGAGUAUUAAAGAUAAUAAUUUCAUGAUUUGUUAAUCUUAUUAAACAUAUUUCCUUGACUUCUCAUAACGUGGACACCCCUCUGCUGUGCAGGUAAAGUAAUCAAAAUGCAAAACGUUGUAAACAGAGCAGGGGGAAACAGCAUGAUAAGCAACUGAGUAGCUGAACAAACGAAAGCUCGACCAAGCUGAAAGGGUUUCUACUGUUUUGUUUUGUUUUUUUCUUUUUUCUGAUCAUGCUGUCAGCCAGAGGUCUCUCUCAAACUCAAGUCCCUGUAGCUUUUUUCAUUUCGAGAAAUGAGCCUCUCCAAUGAAAUUACCCAAGACAAGAGAAACAAGUCCGAAAAUAGCGGACAGUAAUUGUUUUAUAAAAUGUACAGCCCACACAUCUUGCUGGCAGUCAGUAUAGUUUACAUGGUGACUUUUGAAUUGCUUAAUGAUUUGUGAUGUUGAUCACGUUCUUAUUCAUUUGAGAAAUAAACAGAGGAAAAAUAAACACCAAGUACAGAGCUUGGUGCACUGGGACGUUCAGAUGUUUACUUUUCAUCCUUCAUUUAAAUCACUUAUGUGGCUAAUGGUUUUUGGUUUUUAUAAUGUGUUAUUCAGCCAAUUAUCUGAUUGUACACUUGCAUAUCUACACGUGUGCUUUUUACAAAAUGCUACAAUAUAAUAUAUGGCAAAUAAACUGUGCUAAAUGACCGGAAACAGUGUCAUUCAUCAAGUUCAGCGGUAUCAACCCAAACAACUGUCUACUGUACUUUGCCAGCUGUGUAGGUGGUUUAAACUGCAGAGCACAGUGCACAGCACAGGCAGGACUGUCUGAUAAUGAUGUGUGUUUGGUUUUUGCCUUAUUGAUCAAGACCCUGAUGGUAACUUCUCUUGCUUUUCUUCUUCUGUGACUGUGUGGUAUCUGAUGUGAUACAGUAAGCUCGACUCGCUGAACUCAUACACUUCUAGGCUAUUUUACUUUCAGGGAAGGAAAACGUGUACAGAUCACCCAAUUAAUAUCCUGAAUAUUGUUCAACGCAGCAGUUCUAUGUUCUUAACAUAGACACAGUUUACGAUGAAAUUGGUAAAAGGUUAUUGUGAUAUAAAAGUAUACAUUUGUUUUUCUGCUGGGAAUUGACCGUUAGCUAAACCUGUCCAGUAAACAACAAUUGUCAAAUAAUAGUUUAUCUACAAUAACUAUGUGCAGCAGACCUUCUGAGCUUUGGUUUUCUGCACAUUUUGAACUGCUAACCAGCGAAAUCAACACUCACCAUUUAAGGAGAUUAUUAAGUAUAUGAUGUGAAUGAUAGCAUGCCCAGCUUACGGCAAUAAGCAGUUAUGAUACAGUUGUAAUAGUAACACAGUUUUACCUUUGAGGCCAAUGAAAAUUAGUUAACUAAACUGUUUGGGGUUUAGCGUCCCACAACUAGGCAAGCUCACUACACAAGUCCCCAGAAGUUGGUCCUGAAUACUGAUUCAGCAUAUUGUAGAGUAAUAUUAGGAGCUCAGUCCUGCUACACGUCUGAUUGAUUUAAUUAAAUCUACGUAAAUAGCUAGCUAUACCAACAGGCAAAAGAAGUAAGACUAAAGAGUUAAAUAAACACAGGAGGGGGCGCUUAAUAUAAUAUUAUAACAGUAUAUGGACAAAGGUUUUGGGGAGACAUGCUUCAAUUUAUUAAUUCGGGUGUUUCCAGAAUUUUAUACAGGUGUAUAAAAUCAAGCGCCUAGCUAUGCAAAUCAUAGCUAGGUGCAAAUCAUUUGUGAAACAAUAGAUUUUUUUUUAAAAUCCUCACUGAUCUCAAGCAUGGAGCUGUAAUUGGAUGCUGCCAUUGCAAAAAGUCAGUGUCCAAAUAUUUCUGGCACAACUUCACCUGCUUCCAAGGUGCAUUGAGAAGGACAAAGAUCUGGUGGCGUGAAGACUCCAGCGACACUUGAAGCACUAUGGAACAACUUUAUUAGCUGACCAACGCGUUUCGGCUUGUGGCCUUCAUCAGGGUCAUUACAAAAUACUAAACAGUUUGUGUUUAAAUAAAGAAAGAAAUCCAAGUGAACCAACCACACAGAAACAAGCUGACCAAUCAGCAUUUAAGAGGGUGGUACUAGCCAAGGCAUUCUUAUUACCGACACAUAACAUACUGACGAUUUGUCACGUCCCUAUGAUACGCGGCGGAUUGCGGAUGAAAUCCCAUAGAAUGAAGCUUCCAGCCGUGUAUUCCAGCCCUAAACCUAACCUUAAUCCUAACCAUAACAAUAAUUGUGUUAAAUGGUAAAUAUGGUAAAUGACCUGUAUUUGUAUAGCGCUUUUAUUAGUCCCGCCUAGAGACCCCAAAGCGCUUUACACAUCCACCCAUUCACACACACUGGAGACAAGCUGGUGGAGGCAAGCUACAGUAGCCACAGCUUCCCUGGGGCAGACUGACAGAAGCAGUCAGUCUUCUGCCAUCGGCCCUUCUGGCUAAUGGCGCGAUAUGUGUCUUGCCCAAGGACACAACGACCGAGACUGUCCGAGCCGGGGCCGAAUACAAGGCGAACUCAGAACUCAUGAGCCACGAUCGCCCCGUGUUAGAUAGAGUUUUCCAACGCGAUUCAUGAUGAGAAAGUAAAAUAAAUGUACAUGUGUAGAUUGAGUCCAAACGAUUCUCAUGUUUCCUCCUGUUUCCUAACGCAUAACAUAGGAAUAUGUUGGGUGACCAAACGGGUAACAUACCGAUGAUUUGUCACAUAGCGUAAUAUGUUACACUUUGGGAACAAGAACGUGUUGUACUGGCUGACUGGUUGGCUCUGGUUCAACUUUCAAAAAAUGAUUUAAAAAAAAUUAUUAACUCCAUAAUAAAAAAUUUGAACUAGUUAACAGCAAUUAUCAUUACAAUAAAAGGUUUUUGGUUUCUUGGUUUUUCAGUGGGGAUAGGUUAAUUGAAAAAUCUAAAUUGCCCAUAGGUGUAAAUGCUGGAGUGAAUGUGAGUGCGAAUGGUUGUCUGUCCUUGUGUGUUAGCCUUGUGUGGUACACCCUGGCGACCUGUCCAGGGUGUACCACCGCCUCAUGACAGCUGGGAUAGGGUCCAGCCCCCCCCCCCCCCCCCCCCCCCCGCGACCCUGGAAAGGAUAAGCGGAAGCGAAUGGAUGGAUGGAUGGAUGUUUUUUUUUAAAAGUCUUUGAAAAUCUAAUUAAGAACAUAAAGCAAAAUAGUGUAACUCGCAGAAACUCAUUAAUAGACCUGCAUUCAUACCUGUAGGAAAUAAAUAUAGGAAAUAAACUCUUUAAACAAAAUAUCCAGAAUGCUUCAUGGUGAGCUUUAUUUUUUAUUGGCAUUGACGCCAUGAAGCCCAGUCAAAGAGGUGAUAAAAUUAACUUCAUCAGGAAAAAGAGAGAUCUAGUUAGGACCUUUGAGAAUGAACUACUUUUGGAUAUGUGGGGUGAUUUUCAGUCCAGAGUCAGCCAGUACCACCCCCUUAAAUGCUGGUUGGUCAGCUUGUUUAUUUGUUCCAUAGUGCUUCAAGUUUCGCUGGAGCCACCAAAAAGUCACUUGUAUGAAAUUCUUUCCCUCCUACAGAUUUCACAAGUGGUAUUAUUGCAGAGUUACAAAGUGGGGUUGCCAAGUGCUGAGCUGCAUACUGUGUAAAGGUCUCCAACACUAUGCUUACUCCAGAGUUACAACCCUCCUCUGACAUUAACAUCAGCAUAAAAGUUGUGUACCAGGAGCUUCGUGAUAUGGCUGUUCAUGUUUAUGUGUACAAGGUAGCUCUGUGCAUUUGUCCACAUAGUGUAUAUGUAUAUUUUGGUUUCCUUUAUUUGAGUUAAAGAAAAAUUCUUAAGUUUAAAGUAUAGUGUUGACUAUGUUUGAACUGCAUCUAAAUUAUCUUUUAAGAAACUCAUCAAAAUAAUAUAUAGCUAUUAAAUUUUUACUAAAGUAGUUAGCUAGCAGCAGCUAUGAAGAUCUGUUUAUUUUAGCUGGCCAAGCCAUUGCUUGCAGGGGCAUCUUGUGUGCAUUCAUGUGAAAUUAAGAACCCAGUGAUUGAAAAAUAACAGCGAUGAUUUAACAGUAGAUUAGCCCCUAAACUCUAAUGCAACAGUAAUGGAUGGGGAUAGGGCUUAGCAAACGGUCAAUUGUUGAGAGGCUUUUUGCAAUAUUGAUUUUUUUUUAAAAACUGUUUUUGAACAUGUGACAUCACAGAUUAAAUUGUACUGAGAAAAUUUAUAUUUAUUAUACAUUUUGUUUUCGAUGUGUUUGAAUAGAAAUGUCCAGGGAUGUACAAUAUUCUGUCAUUAUCAAUACUGUAUCCAUCUCCAGUCAUGCAUUAGCUGUACUCUGAAUAUUUUAACGCUGAUUGUAUAAAACAAGUCAUCUGGCAUCAUGAAGAACAAAUGAAUGACGCAUUGAUUGUGUACAGCGGCACAUGUGUAUGUCCGAUUUUCAACAGUUCCUCAAUAACAGACAUUUUGAUCAUGCUCUGCCUGGUGUUCCUCUGUUUAAAGAAAGAAAGAAAGAAAGAAAGAAAGAAAGAAAGAAAGAAAGAAAGAAAGAAAGAAAGAAAGAAAGAAAGAAAGAAAGAAAAAUAAAGCAGGCAGUGCAGAAGAUAUAUCUGCUUAUGACAACAGGCUCUGACACACGACAGAUUCAUGCUGCUUGAGGAUUUAUUGCUCUGUAGCCGUGCACACGGAACAGUUUAAUGACGCUGAUAGACUGCAUAUACUGCACUCGCUUCAAGUGUUCAGAAAAGCGUUGAGAGAAUCAGGACAUUGAGGAGCAGUAGAUGCAACACAAUAGCAUCAAACCUAAGCGUUUGCAUGGAUUUACACUAACAGGCUGAUGACUCAUCAUACUUCAACCACCACUGACAAACACCUCUGGAGCAGCUCUGUCUCUACGACUUUACCCGCAAACUAGGAAGAUAAUUAUCACACACAUCACAUCUUAAAUCAACUGUGUGACUCACAGAAAGGGAAAAGAGCAAUACACAAUAUUUUAAAGUUUGGAGUGUUUAGAACUAGGAGGGUUGAUAGAUGAUUUUUACAGGUCACAAGAAGAUUAAGGCAUGUGGAAAAAGAACCAAAACAAAAAUCUUUUUCUAAUAUAGAAAUGUUGUCAUCUGAAACCUUGAAAUGAUUAAACUUUUAAUAAAGUAUUGACUGAAAUAGGCUGAAAACAGAAACACUCAACUGUUCCCAAUUUUGUGCAUGCACACCGAAGCCAGAAGGCCACUAGACAAAAUCAUUCUUUUUUAAAAGGACAAUGCCGAUGCUUUCACUGUACAGGAACAACAACCACGCGCUCCUUGCAGAUGCUGACUGGCUUAAUUUCUCGGAAAUGAAAAGUGCCAAGGCGAUCAUAACAUUUUUGUUUUUGUUACUUACUUUUAUCGGAUUGGACAACACGUGCGUCCUUCUGACAAU
ensembl:lncRNA